rnacentral:rRNA from 1 species
UACGUAGGGUCCGAGCGUUGUCCGGAAUUAUUGGGCGUAAAGGGCUCGUAGGCGGUUUGUUGCGUCGGGAGUGAAAACUUACAGCUUAACUGUGAGCGUGCUUCCGAUACGGGCAGACUUGAGGUAUUCAGGGGAGAACGGAAUUCCUGGUGUAGCGGUGAAAUGCGCAGAUAUCAGGAAGAACACCCGUGGCGAAAGCGGCUCUCUGGAACGGUACUGACGCUGAGACGCGAAAGCGUGGGGAGCGAACAGG